GAGUAACGGGGGUAACCGGGAGGGCAGAGCGAGGUCAGCUGCGUGCAACGGGACCGCAGCACAGGAAAAGCAGCCCGGAACGAAACCGCCGAGGAUAAGCGGGGAGACGACACAGCGCUGCGGCCGAACCGAAGCACGGCGUGCGACGGCGCGGCGCCCGACGGCUCUCCUGGGCAGGGAACACCGCCACGACACACGCAAACACACACACACACACAGCACGGCAGCAGAACCGAGGCACGAAACGGCUCCGGAGCGCGGCGGUGCCGGCCGGCUCCCCGCCCUCCGCUCCGCCGUUGCUCGCCCCCGGGCGCAGCCGUCCGCCGCUACUCACGGGCAGGCCGCGCAGCAGGCGGGAGCCGCUCAUGGCCGUCCUCCGUCGCCGCCGGGGAGCGCAGCUGGGGGCCGAGCAGGGAGGUCGGGCUGAGCCGGCCCCGCCUCGCCCCGCCCCGCGGCGGCGGCGAUGGAGGGCGGCAGCGCGAUGGCGGACUCCGCGCCGGCGGAGGUGGAAGCGGCCAGCGAGGCGCUCGCGCUGCUGCGGCUCGAGUCGGCGGGGUCCGGCGAGGCGCCGUGCUCGAGGAACGUCCUUCGGAAGCGGAGGCGCUGGGAGCGGGUGUUGGCGGCGCGGCGGCGGCGGCGGCCGCAGGAGAGGGAGCGGAGCAGAGCGCGGCGACCCGAGGGCCGAGGUGGGGCGGCGCGGGGUGCGGGGCCGGGGUGGGCCGGGUAGGGCAGGGCUGCCCUCCGCGCUGUGCCCCGCAGGAGCCGCCCGGCAGCGCGGCAGGGCCCUGGCGGAGGAGCGGCUCCUGGAAGCCCGCUCGGCGGGCCCGCGGCUCUGCGUGGACCUCGGCGUGGCCGACCGCAUGACGCCCAAGGAGACGAGCCGGCUGGCCGCGCAGAUCCGCCGGCUGUACGGCGCUAACAGGCGGGCCGAGCGGCCCUUCUGGCUCUGCCUGACCGAGCUGGUGCCGGGAUCGCCCAUCCACCGCGAGUGCCUCCGCAUGAACGACGGCUUCUCCGGAUACUUGAUGGAAACGACUCAAGAAAGCUACCUGGAUCUGUUCCCUUUGGAUGCCAUUGUUUAUCUCACUCCUGACUCCGAGAACGUUCUCGAAGAUGUUGAUCCCGAAAAAGUGUACGUCCUCGGAGGCCUCGUGGAUGAAAGUAUACACAAGAACCUGACCCUGCAAAGGGCACAAGGGCAGUCCUUGCAAACAGCCCGCCUCCCAAUUCGUGAGUAUAUGGUAAAAUCCAUGAACACGAAGAACUACUACUCGGAGACGCUGGCAAUUAAUCAAGCCAGGGGGAAGAGGAUAACACAUUAUCCUCUCUCAGAUAAGCUACUUCACGCCUUGUUCACGAGACUUAAAGUCUUCGAUGUCUUAUCGACUUACUACAGAACCCAAAGUUGGCCAGAUGCUUUGAAAGCUGGAGUUUCUUCUGGAAAAGGCUACGUGCUUCCGGACGGAGAGAAAUCAGUGAAAAAUACCUCAGCGUGACAAUGCACAAGAAAACUCUUUUAUUUCCUGAAAGUUAAGGAGCUGUGCAAGCAAGAGUAGCAAACUGCAGAUUUCAAGCAGAGGCACCAGUGUGAAUGUGUGCAGAGAAAACAGCUCUGCCUAAAUUUACUUACGUACGGACCUCGGCAAGAGUGACAGAUUCUGCCUCAGCGGUACAGUGCUGGAAAUGACUUUACGCCCUGAACAGAAAACAGAAGCCAGCUGAGCCCUGAGAUCAACAAUGAGUCGUAACUGAUGUCUUGUGUCAGUACGUGAUAACGGACACUAUGGCCUGAGCAGAGAACGCUUCUGAUGCAUGUAAGAUAAUGCUACUUCAGCCACUGUCAGUUAAAAAACCCUGCAAACACACAGAAAAGCCAAACCUGCUAUCGGUGACUCUCCAAGAAGGAGUUGGAGGGCUUUGCAGGCUACGUCCUUCUGGGCAGACUCGUCUCUCCAAGGACUUCUGUCACGGCUGUGACUGAUGCUGCUCCUCUCCACGCUGCCCGCAGGGGAAAUGCUGCAGCACAGGCUGUAAUAGUCCAUGGAGUUUCCCUCAGACAGCUUGGUCCCCAGCACAGACACAUCACCGUCCACUCCCUUCUGCUCAGAGGGGCUGUGCUUACACCCAUGCUUCUCUGCUUCUGGUACCUGCAAGAAACAGAAGAAGUCUCUGGCUUCUGCUCUGCCAGAGCCUCCUGCAGCACAAACGGGGAAGAAGCUCUUGUCCAAGCUGUUCAUCUCAUGCACAGUGGGUGUGUAGAAGUGGAAAAAACUCUGGCCUGGAGGAAGAGCAGGCUUCCAACUCAUCUUCUUCCAGUGCGUCCAUUGAGUCACUUGAGCCGCUCGUCUUAAACCCUCGGCUCUCUGUGUUGGCUGAAUCAGAAGCAUCAGACGUGCUGUCUGCUGCACUGUCGCCCCCAUCCCGUUGGUUAUUCCCUCCAGCCUGGGGCUCUGUGCUGUCCUUUUCCAGGCUCUGAAGCUCUCCCAGCUUCUCCUCACGUGCAGGAUGGGUGCUGCUGUAUGCUGCAGGUGUGCCCGAGCAGUGCUCUGAGGAGGAAUCCAUUUCCCAGGAGUCUUCAGAAUCGCUGCAGGUUCGAGAUUCAUACCCUGUGAUUUAAACACAUCUGUCAGCCUGUGCUGUGCGGUGGCACAGAGGAGCAGUCAGAAAAGGCUUACAAACUUGGCCACACGGCAGUGAUUCGGGGCCAAGAGAGCUCUGCCCACACUUGCUCAUCAGUAAACCACGUAAAGAUGCACUCUGACCGACCUGCAGGGCCAUAACCUGUGAGCGGAGGCCCGGUUCUAUCUGCCUGCCUGCUCUGUCUGGCUUUACUGCAGAGCAGCGCCAAGGGGAGCUGCAGAAAAGCAGCCAGGUAACUUGCUGUCUGAAGACCGUCUGCAUCCCCUAUGGGACCAGAGCCACCCUGACAAGGGACAAGACAGCACGGCAAACAGAUUGCCCACCUCUCCUGGCCAGAGCGCAGCAGAGGUUGCUCAGGAGUUUGGUGAAGGAGCACAAGCGCCCAGAAACACGUCUGCCAUGUUGCUGACAGGCCCUUGGCCUCUCCUUGGGAAGAGCUGUCGCUUACUGCCGCCCUGCCCCAAGCCUAACACCUCUGGGGUUAAUGGAGAGCUGGCAGUGCUGGCGGUGAGGCUGACAUUCCACGUUCUGCAGAUGUCACCGAGCAUUCCCAGGCUACCACGACACCGUUCCCAGGAAGGAAUGACACUGCUACCACUGGAUGAUCGACCCGCUUCCUCCCCAUUCUUUGGCAAAUUAACCUUCUUCGGCUGAGACACGGUGUAGUUGCUCUCUUUUCUCUCCCCAAGUAAAUAUGGAGCCAUUUGCAUCCACAAA